rfam:Legionella israelensis strain Bercovier 4 Lisr_ctg048, whole genome shotgun sequence.
GUGGCUGGACGUACAGUCGGGAAACCCUUCAUGGAUUUUCUACCAACCGGUAGAACAAAUGUUUCUUAGCAUUUGCAGUCA